rnacentral:rRNA from 1 species
UGGGGAAUAUUGGACAAUGGGGGAAACCCUGAUCCAGCAAUGCCGCGUGAGUGAAGAAGGCCUUAGGGUUGUAAAGCUCUUUCGCCCGCGAAGAUAAUGACGGUAGCGGGAGAAGAAGCCCCGGCUAACUCCGUGCCAGCAGCCGCGGUAAUACGGGGGGGGCUAGCGUUGUUCGGAAUUACUGGGCGUAAAGCGUACGUAGGCGGAUGCGCAAGUUGGGGGUGAAAUCCCGGGGCUUAACCUCGGAAUUGCCCUCAAAACUGCACGUCUUGAGACCGAGAGAGGUAAGGGGAAUUCCUAGUGUAGAGGUGAAAUUCGUAGAUAUUAGGAAGAACACCAGUGGCGAAGGCGCCUUACUGGCUCGGUACUGACGCUGAGGUACGAAAGCGUGGGGAGCAAACA